rnacentral:sRNA from 1 species
CGCCAUGACAGACCGCGCACACGUUAAUGCCUCGUGGGGCGCUCAACGGGCAGGCACAGCGCCUCCCGUCGGCGCCCURCCCCUGCCGUGCCCUCGCGCGAGCGAGCACGCCCGGCGGGUCCAACAAACCCACGGCGCGGAAGGCGCCAAGGAUCACAACGUCGGAGCGUCGCCCCCCAUCAUGGCCCCGUCCGCGGCAAUCCAUGCGGGGGAUGUGCGUCUCCCUAGAUUGAAUGACAUGUAAAACGACUCUCGGCAACGGAUAUCUCGGCUCUCGCAUCGAUGAAGAACGUAGCAAAAUGCGAUACUUGGUGUGAAUUGCAGAAUCCCGUGAACCAUCGAAUCUUUGAACGCAAGUUGCGCCCGAAGCCAUCCGGCCGAGGGCACGCCUGCCUGGGCGUCACGCAUCGCGCCGCCCCACUGCCCCCCUUCCUUCUCUGGGACGGGGGACACGGUGCGGAGACUGGCCUCCCGUGCGCCCCGGCGUGCGGAUGGCCCAAAUGAGAUCCCCCGGUGAUGCACGCCACGACGAUUGGUGGUUGAUUGCUCGACUCACGUGCCGUCGUGCCCCGCAGCAUCGCCGGCCAGGGCAUCCGGAAGGACCCAACGGCGUGCG